rnacentral:rRNA from 1 species
UGAGGAAUAUUGGUCAAUGGGCGAAAGCCUGAACCAGCCAAAUCGCGUGAAGGAAGACAGCCCUACGGGUUUUAAACUUCUUUUGUAAGGGAAUAAAAAGAGCUACGUGUAGCUCAUUGCAUGUACCUUACGAAUAAGCAUCGGCUAACUCCGUGCCAGCAGCCGCGGUAAUACGGAGGAUGCGAGCGUUAUCCGGAUUUAUUGGGUUUAAAGGGUGCGCAGGCGGAUUUAUAAGUCAGCGGUGAAAUCUCGAGGCUCAACCUCGAACCUGCCGUUGAAACUGUAGACCUUGAGUAUAGAUGAAGUAGGCGGAAUUCGUUGUGUAGCGGUGAAAUGCAUAGAUAUAACGAAGAACUCCAAUUGCGUAAGCAGCUUACUAAACUAUCACUGACGCUCAAGC